UACGAAGGGGACUAGCGUUGUUCGGAAUCACUGGGCGUAAAGCGCACGUAGGCGGAUGUGUCAGUCAGGGGUGAAAUCCCGGGGCUCAACCUCGGAACUGCCUUUGAUACAGCACGUCUCGAGUCCGGAAGAGGUGGGUGGAAUUCCUAGUGUAGAGGUGAAAUUCGUAGAUAUUAGGAAGAACACCGGUGGCGAAGGCGGCCCACUGGUUCGGUACUGACGCUGAGGUGCGAAAGCGUGGGGAGCAAACAGG
rnacentral:rRNA from 1 species